rnacentral:rRNA from 1 species
GACGAACGCUGGCGGCGUGCUUAACACAUGCAAGUCGAACGGAAAGGCCCUGCUUUUGUGGGGUGCUCGAGUGGCGAACGGGUGAGUAACACGUGAGUAACCUGCCCUUGACUUUGGGAUAACUUCAGGAAACUGGGGCUAAUACCGGAUAGGAGCUCCUGCUGCAUGGUGGGGGUUGGAAAGUUUCGGCGGUUGGGGAUGGACUCGCGGCUUAUCAGCUUGUUGGUGGGGUAGUGGCUUACCAAGGCUUUGACGGGUAGCCGGCCUGAGAGGGUGACCGGCCACAUUGGGACUGAGAUACGGCCCAGACUCCUACGGGAGGCAGCAGUGGGGAAUAUUGCACAAUGGGCGGAAGCCUGAUGCAGCAACGCCGCGUGCGGGAUGACGGACUUCGGGUUGUAAACCGCUUUCGCCUGUGACGAAGCGUGAGUGACGGUAAUGGGUAAAGAAGCACCGGCUAACUACGUG